AUUGAACGCUGGCGGCAGGCCUAACACAUGCAAGUCGAGCGAGCGGCGGACGGGUGAGUAAUGUAUGGGGACUGCCCGAUAGAGGGGGAUAACUACUGGAAACGGUGGCUAAUACCGCAUACUAUCGGAUAACCCAUAUGGGAUUAGCUAGUAGGUGGGGUAAAGGCUCACCUAGGCGACGAUCUCUAGCUGGUCUGAGAGGAUGAUGAGCAACCAUGGAACUGAGACACGGCCCAGACUCCUACGGAGGAAGAAGUGGGGAAUAUGGCAAAAUGGGCGAAAGCCUGAGACAGCCAUGCGGGGGGUAGGAGGAAGGCCUUAGGGUUGUAAAGUACUUUCAGCGGGGAGGCGUUACCCGCAGAAGAAGCACCGGCUAACUCCGUGCCAGCAGCCGCGGUAAUUC
rnacentral:rRNA from 1 species